AACUGAAUCCAUAGGUUAAUGAGGCGAACCGGGGGAACUGAAACAUCUAAGUACCCCGAGGAAAAGAAAUCAACCGAGAUUCCCCCAGUAGCGGCGAGCGAACGGGGAGGAGCCCAGAGCCUGAAUCAGCAUGUGUGUUAGUGGAAGCGUCUGGAAAGGCGCGCGAUACAGGGUGACAGCCCCGUACACAAAAGCGCAUGUGCUGUGAGCUCGAUGAGUAGGGCGGGACACGUGGUAUCCUGUCUGAAUAUGGGGGGACCAUCCUCCAAGGCUAAAUACUCCUGACUGACCGAUAGUGAACCAGUACCGUGAGGGAAAGGCGAAAAGAACCCCGGCGAGGGGAGUGAAAAAGAACCUGAAACCGUGUACGUACAAGCAGUGGGAGCACAGGUUUACCUGUGUGACUGCGUACCUUUUGUAUAAUGGGUCAGCGACUUAUAUUCUGUAGCAAGGUUAACCGUAUAGGGGAGCCGGAGGGAAACCGAGUCUUAACCGGGCGUUAAGUUGCAGGGUAUAGACCCGAAACCCGGUGAUCUAGCCAUGGGCAGGUUGAAGGUUGGGUAACACUAACUGGAGGACCGAACCGACUAAUGUUGAAAAAUUAGCGGAUGACCUGUGGCUGGGGGUGAAAGGCCAAUCAAACCGGGAGAUAGCUGGUUCUCCCCGAAAGCUAUUUAGGUAGCGCCUCGUGAACUCAUCUCCGGGGGUAGAGCACUGUUUCGGCUAGGGGGCCAUCCCGGCUUACCAACCCGAUGCAAACUGCGAAUACCGGAGAAUGUUAUCACGGGAGACACACGGCGGGUGCUAACGUCCGUCGUGAAGAGGGAAACAACCCAGACCGCCAGCUAAGGUCCCAAAGUCAUGGUUAAGUGGGAAACGAUGUGGGAAGGCCCAGACAGCCAGGAUGUUGGCUUAGAAGCAGCCAUCAUUUAAAGAAAGCGUAAUAGCUCACUGGUCGAGUCGGCCUGCGCGGAAGAUGUAACGGGGCUAAACCAUGCACCGAAGCUGCGGCAGCGACACUGUGUGUUGUUGGGUAGGGGAGCGUUCUGUAAGCCUGUGAAGGUGGCCUGUGAGGGUUGCUGGAGGUAUCAGAAGUGCGAAUGCUGACAUAAGUAACGAUAAAGCGGGUGAAAAGCCCGCUCGCCGGAAGACCAAGGGUUCCUGUCCAACGUUAAUCGGGGCAGGGUGAGUCGACCCCUAAGGCGAGGCCGAAAGGCGUAGUCGAUGGGAAACGGGUUAAUAUUCCCGUACUUGGUGUUACUGCGAAGGGGGGACGGAGAAGGCUAUGUUGGCCGGGCGACGGUUGUCCCGGUUUAAGCGUGUAGGUGUGUGUUCCAGGUAAAUCCGGUUCACUUUAACACUGAGGCGUGAUGACGAGGCACUACGGUGCUGAAGCAACAAAUGCCCUGCUUCCAGGAAAAGCCUCUAAGCAUCAGGUAACACGAAAUCGUACCCCAAACCGACACAGGUGGUCAGGUAGAGAAUACCAAGGCGCUUGAGAGAACUCGGGUGAAGGAACUAGGCAAAAUGGUGCCGUAACUUCGGGAGAAGGCACGCUGACACGUAGGUGAAGUGAUUUACUCAUGGAGCUGAAGUCAGUCGAAGAUACCAGCUGGCUGCAACUGUUUAUUAAAAACACAGCACUGUGCAAACACGAAAGUGGACGUAUACGGUGUGACGCCUGCCCGGUGCCGGAAGGUUAAUUGAUGGGGUCAGCGCAAGCGAAGCUCCUGAUCGAAGCCCCGGUAAACGGCGGCCGUAACUAUAACGGUCCUAAGGUAGCGAAAUUCCUUGUCGGGUAAGUUCCGACCUGCACGAAUGGCGUAAUGAUGGCCAGGCUGUCUCCACCCGAGACUCAGUGAAAUUGAACUCGCUGUGAAGAUGCAGUGUACCCGCGGCAAGACGGAAAGACCCCGUGAACCUUUACUAUAGCUUGACACUGAACAUUGAGCCUUGAUGUGUAGGAUAGGUGGGAGGCUUUGAAGUGUGGACGCCAGUCUGCAUGGAGCCGACCUUGAAAUACCACCCUUUAAUGUUUGAUGUUCUAACGUGGACCCGUUA
rnacentral:rRNA from 1 species